GAGAGGAGCUCUGUGUCCCCGACUCGUGCCGGAAACCAUUCCUGGCUUUGAAGAUGACAAUACCCGUUGCCUUGGAUACAUUCUUGGGACACCUUGUGCCUGACCUUGGCUAUCUGUUAUAUGCUGAGAAAUUUUACCAUGCCCUAAAAGUAAGGUGUUGGAACUGGACAAGAAGGAAACAUUUGUGAAUGUAUAUGAAUCUGUUUGUUCUUCAUAUUAAAACAUUUUGACUUCUAUUGUGCCCCCAAAUCAUUACCAAAAGUGGAAAAAGAGCUUUGUCUUUGUAGAAAUGAGACGUUUCUGUGCACAGUCUCUGAAACAUCCCUUUGUCACUGAAGUAUUGGGCUCAGAGGAGUGAUGUGGAGUUAUGGCACAGACAUGAAAAACAGACAACGGUACUGUUCACAAUGUUGUAUUUUAAAAUGACAA